UCCUUUCCUGUGAAAGAGCGGAAUGUUCAUGGAAAGAAAAACGUCAAGGGCUCCAGAGUCAAGGGUGGCAUUUGGCAAAUACCAAGGGAAGAAGGCAG
rnacentral:lncRNA from 13 species